rnacentral:lncRNA from 1 species
UGGGCAAAUUUUACUAUGUAUGAAUACAUGCAUUUUUAUAGGUCCCUUUUUUUGGUCAUUUACCUCAUUGUAUUUCUAUGCACUUGUGCAUUCCAGGCUUAGAAAUGUUCAGUUUUUUGGUGUUUCUUAUGUAUACAAAUCCAUAAAAGAGGGACGAAAGAAAUCUGUAUUACCCAUCAAUGGAUCGAUAACACUACCAGAAUAGUAGUCAGUAUCUUUGUACAUAAAAAGUAAAAUGACAAAAAUACAGAACUCCGAGGAAAAUUCAAAACGGAAAGUCCC